AGCAUCCUAACAGUUCAAACAGGGAAAUUGAAGCUACUCCAUGUUUGGCCCUGGCAAGGUAAAUCAUUUUAUUACCAGUAUAUAACCCCUCCCCUCUCCCUUUUUGUGACUGUUAGGACUACCGAUCAGCAUAAAUACUUUAUGCAGGGGGGUUAUCUCUGUGCUGAUAAUCAAAUUGUUUACCUUGCAAGGAACAAACCUGGAGUUGUUUCCGUUUUCAUGAUUGCCCAGUUUAGCUCAGUAAAUAACAAAAAACAUAUUUCAUGAUUAAAACAAUAGAUGAAAAGUAUCACAAGUCAUAUCCACUGAACUGCUGAACAGAGUAUACUACUCCUCAAUUUCACUUGUUUCCUCACAAAUUACCCUAUGUUUUUUUCUGUAUAAGAAAAGUACUCCGAUAUAUACAUGAACAUUCAGCUGACUUAUAUUGUCAAAAUUUUGCAUCUACCUCAAUGAAAUUAGGUAAGUGGUACGGUGGGGAAAAUGCUCAUUAUUGCGGAGGCGGUGCUCCAUUGACAGAGGCUUUAGGAGUUGUAGUUUAUAAAGUGCCACAAUGUUUAUAUACUCCAGGUAUAUAUUGUUGGGUCUGUACACUGCAUAUUAACACUCAGCAAAAAGUAUUGCUUACCAUUUAUAGCCUGCUCUACUUCCAUAAUAACUGCAAUCAAAGUGUGCACACAAUAGCACUGGAUUAAGCCAAUUCUGUUUUUAGAGUUUUAUUUUAAAUCCUUUGUGAUGUACAGUUUUCUUUAAUGUACAGCAGUAGUUUAGUAAUAUUCCAGCUGCAGUCUUCCAUGCAGAGUCAGAUCAUUAUCAUUACUAAUAAUUCCCUGUGCAGAAGAGUAGUUGGUGGUGGUAUGGUUACUGAAACCAGCUUGUUUUUGUUGCAGCACUUCUAAUUCUUGGGUGUAUUUUCUUUUGUGUAUGGUAUGGAAGGUGGGUCAUUUGCAUAGACAUGUAAAGUAUGCAAACCGUCACUAUAAUUAUACUAAAUGUAAAGGAAAUGUUUUAUGCGCUUUUGUUAAAACGAGCCUCUACUUUAGCUAAUAUCUUACUUUAUUUUAUUAUGUAACAGAACCUACUUUGGUACACCUACAGCAAAGUCCUAUCAGUCAGGUUUUCUUAUUUCUUAUUAGCCAUCUUUUAUAACAUGAUGUGAAUUUUUCCCACAGCAACAACUUUAACAAUUUUAAUUUAUUAAAGGAAGGGAUGAGAUGUACUGUUUAAUAUAAAGCAGCUAUGAAUGGCCCCUCUAUGGUGUCUUCUCACUUUCAGCCUCCCUUGGAUCUUAAUGGUUCUGUUAAGAGGUAUUAUCUACUUGUAAGCCCACACUCUCUCUGCUGAGAAUCUCUGCAGUUUUAAGGCAGCUCCUAACCAAUAAUGUGCCAGCUGAUGGCAUUCCAGGAAUUGUUGAGCUUUCACCAACCCCUCAGGAACACAGAACCUGCUGCAGACAAUGACACAGCAAUCACAAGUAGGCUAAAGAACCCUUCACUUUUAUCUGUACAGUAUUUACAGUGAUGAGAAUAGAGACUCUGCAGAUGCAUCACAUUAUGGGCAUUUCUCUUAUAAGGAAGUCCAUUAAUUCACCAGCAUAAAUUAGAUUAUGAAUAGAACUAACCUGUUAGGACGUUUGUUGUUUGUCCCAUAGGGGUUAGUAUGGCUAUUGCUGUUUUAAUCAUUAGAAAAUGUUUUCCCUGCAAGUCCACUCAAAGUCCACUUUUAAACUCCAGUCCUUAUAGCUGUGAUAUAUAUAAAUAUAUAUGUCCUGAGAUGGAGACCUUAAUGUUGAAUCUAACAGCCCUAGUGUGUUUAGUUCAGCAGUACAAAAUAAACUAACAUGAAAGGACUCCCCUGGCCUUCUCCUUACCCCAUACCUGAGAAGUCUCUUGCUCAGUUCAUGGGUGGAUAACUGUUAGGGAUAAAGUUCUUCAUUUUCAGACCUUUGGCUCUUGCUGCUCUAGUGAUUCACUUCUCUGUUUCUUUUCUUCAUCCUCUCCAUUUUCUGUUUCAUGUUUCCUUGCGGGCGUCUCACAGUUAGUGCUCCUCAGAACUUUAGCGCUGUGCUCUUGUGCUCUGGCACGUAAUGCUGCGAUGCUGUUCUCCCUUAGUUCCUCCUCUGAGAUGGGAGCUGACAGCUCAGGCUCCAUUCUUUCAUUGGUUGUGGGUUGACUUGGAAGAGCUGGUGCUUCUUGUUCAGGCUGCUGCACUCUAUCUGCUGCUGUCUCCAGUGUCUUUUUGUGCAUUCCUGCAAAGAAUUGUUGGUAUUCUGGUUUAGAAAAUCGUCUGGGCAUUUGCAAGCCAUCUUGAACUGAAAACAGUAGAGAUAAAGAGCAAAUUAAGAGGAAUAGGAGUAGGGAAAAUGACAACGCGUGGCACUGGCUGAAGGAGUGUAUGAUCCUUUAAAUCUUGCCAUAAAAUGCUGAUAACGCUGGACCACUCCAGCAAUUUCUAGACCACAUCCCCAAGCACUUUUAUUGUGAGAGGAUUAUCACGCAUGGACAAGAUUGGAGGAAGUUGAUAUCCCUGUUCCUAAUGCUUAUUUUAAAGUUUUUUGCCUAGAAAUGUUCCCCUAUGGCACAUAGACUAUUGGCACAAUGGCAGUUUUUUUGAGCAGGGAAAACCCUGUCUUCAAUAAUAGUAAGCUGUUAUUUUUCUGUUGAAAAAAACAAUGGGAAAAAAAGGGUUGAAUUUGGAAAAGGAUUUUAAGAAUUUUACCUUUUAAUUUUCAUAAGUCUGCCCCUACAUAUGAAACAGAGCUACUUAAUAUCCACUGCUCUUUAUUGUUGUUUGGUUCAUUAUUUUCUCAUUAAAGUCCAUGAGGUAUUUGAACGAGUUGCCACAUUACCUGGGAAGGUCUGCUGGAGACCCUGUUUGGAAUAAUACAUUGCAGUGAAAGAAAACACGCUGCAUGCCAUCCUAGCAUACCUUGUAUACAGAAAAGUGGCAGCUGGGUUUAUGACAAGAAGUUUAUAAAUCAAAAACAAAACUGAGAAUUAAAAGUGUUGUAGAUGAAGUAACUUGCAGGUGCUAUAAAAUUAACUGAUGAGGAGGAGGAAGUUGUGCUGAAAUAAUAUGUUUACAUACAGUACAUAUUCAUUGGGCCAUGCAGUGAACUAUGACGGAAUUCAUUUCUCACCCAGAAGCCAGGGAGCACAGGACUCCAUUAUGCCAUCCUUCGCCGAUUUUAAGAUUGAUUCUGGGAGGGGAAUUGAGUGUCGAACCAUUGCCCCAUACAGACCAUAUUCAGCCAUCACGCUGCUUCGACCCCAGCAUUUCUCUCUUUUUCUCCAUUUCGCUCGUCUGUUCUGGAACCAAACCUAACCAAAAUAAAGGCAUAAGAUGUCAUUAAAUGUUAUAGCAUUCAUAAUGGAGUUUGCAGCUAAAAUGAUAAAUAUAGUAAUACUCUUGCUAUAAAUGUACGUAGUGCUCUCUCCUUAAAAGUUCCAGAGAUAUAAAAUGAAAAAGUUCUUCCCAGUAAAGGGAUUAAUUUAGGGAGUGUACACUUUUGUCUAAUCGGUAACAUGUUUAUCUGCAGCUGUAACUUUGAGAAAAUUAUAUGAAUAUCACUGGCU